GAUGAACGCUGGCGGCGUGCUUAACACAUGCAAGUCGAACGGAAAGGCCCAAGCUUGCUUGGGUACUCGAGUGGCGAACGGGUGAGUAACACGUGGGUGAUCUGCCCUGCACUUCGGGAUAAGCCUGCGAAACUGGGUCUAAUACCGGAUAGGACCUCAUUUUGGAUGGUGUGGUGGAAAGUUUUUCGGUGUGGGUUGAGCUCGCGGCCUAUCAGCUUGUUGGUGGGGUAAUGGCCUACCAAGGCGUCGACGGGUAGCCGGCCUGAGAGGGUGUACGGGCACAAUGGGACUGAGAGACGGACCAGACGCCUACGGGAGGCAGCAGUGGGGAAUAUUGCAGAAUGGGCGCAAGCCUGAUGCAGCGACGCCGCGUGGGGGAUGACGGCCUUCGGGUUGUAAACUCCUUUCGCUAGGGACGAAGCGCAAGUGACGGUACCUGGAGAAGAAGCACCGGCUAACUACGUG
rnacentral:rRNA from 1 species